CAAUCGUAUCAUGUGAAAGGUGCCUGUGAAAAUUCUCCGCAGGAUAAUAGGGAAAAGGGUGGAAAUCCCUUACGGUCCCGCCGCUGUAAGUGGGGAGCAGAGCUCAAUGAAUCACUGGGAAACCGGGAAGAGGAGCUGCUGUGACGAUACACGAGUCAGAAGACCUGCCUUUCGCUUUGCGACGCAU
rnacentral:ncRNA from 18 species